rnacentral:rRNA from 1 species
UACGUAGGGCGCAAGCGUUGUCCGGAAUUAUUGGGCGUAAAGAGCUCGUAGGCGGCUUGUCACGUCGGAUGUGAAAGCCCGGGGCUUAACCCCGGGUCUGCAUUCGAUACGGGCAGGCUAGAGUUCGGUAGGGGAGAUCGGAAUUCCUGGUGUAGCGGUGAAAUGCGCAGAUAUCAGGAGGAACACCGAUGGCGAAGGCAGUUCUCUGGGCCGUAACUGACGCUGAGGAGCGAAAGCGUGGGGAGCGAACAGG